rnacentral:rRNA from 1 species
GCAGUCAGGGCACCUUGUGAGCAGCACUGGACCAUACUAACGCCAUUUUGAGUGCACGGCAGAGGAGGUGGACAUCUGCACUAGGUCGUCGGAGAAGAGGAAGAAUGGGGAAAGGGGGAGCGAUGGGCGGGAGCAGGCGGACGAGCACGGGCGGUCGUCUCUUUUAGCUGCGAAGAGGUGGGUCCCGCGCUUACGUGGACAAGUGGUGAGUCCUGCGCUUACGUGGAUAAAUGGUGGGUUCAGCCCCUAACAGCCAAUGAGGGCAUCACUUCAGCUUUAGGGUCAUGUCGUGUUUGGGCUAUUUAUUCGCCCAAAAGUGUCACACCAAAGCCAUUCGGUCGAACAACGUCUCACUCCUUUCAAUUCCCACGAAAGGUGUCGCACAGGAGCUACUGACCCGUAUGAGAAGUCAGGGAUUUUCAGCGUGAGGUCAGCCUAUAAGAUGAUCACUAAAACAAAAUGAUGUCGGGAGGACUGGCUAGAGGAGCAUCCCGGACCAUCAAACAGAAAGGAAGAAGAGAAGGUACAGGUAAAUCUGUGGAAAGUUUAUGUGCCAGCAAAGUUGCGAGUUUUCUUACGGCGGUUGUCCCAUCAUUCCAUACCGACGAAGGACGCGAGAAUGCACAUAAAUCUAUAUCUUUACCUAAUAAUAAAGCAAAUUGUGUUUUGGUCGUUCGUCAUGCUUUUUUGCAAAAAGCCCCCGCGGUUUGCUAAAAUCAACCCGUAGUACUACAGGAAUCAAGUAAAAAAAUCUCUCGCUGGUACAAUUCCUCGCUCCAAUCCAAGGCUGCCGCCAUCGCCCUGCCCGGCCUUGCCCGCGCCACCAUCGCCUUGCCCGUCCUUUCCCGGCGGCGCGGGCGCCUACCGCCGUGUCAGGUUGCGCCCGCCCAGCUUCGCUCGCACCCCGCCGACCGCACCCUCGCCCGCCUCCAUGCCUAGUUUCUCCCGACGCGGAACUGGCAGAGGACAUAGGCGGUCGGCGUGCUCUCUUGGGGCGAGGCGUCGCGGCACGUCAGCGACACGCGAGGGUUGUGCGACAGAGGAAACAAAAAGAGGGACAAUAGAGAGCAUAGAGGGGUCUUGGAUCCUUGCUAGCCCACGCUCACCAAAGACCUGGAGAACCUCCACUCGAGCAGGGCAAAGAGAUGGCCGGCGACGGCUUCGCGGCCGUGCUGGGUCGAGGCAGCUGCGUAGCCCACGCGGUGGACGAACAUGCACUCCUCUCCGGCGUCCUCCUCCCAUCGGCAGGCGAGGCAGGAAAGCGGCGGAUUCGAAUAUCACGACGCAACCUUCCUACUACUCCAGCUCAUGCGUGGCCGUGUGCGUCACGACCAGAGAUGGAGACCCGGCUGCUGUCCGGGAGGGAAGGCACAACAAUCGGAGAGCAUGGCCGAUGAGUUGCAGCCUUAGGCGCUCGGCUUGGAUGUGAGGUCGAGCUGGAAAGAGGAGAGAGCCCAGCGAGCGGGGAGGCGGAGCUCACUUGCGGGUGUAGAGAGAGGGAGCGCUGGGGAAGGGAGAGCUGGCCGACGGGGGGCUUGCAAGUGGUGG